rnacentral:rRNA from 1 species
GAGAGAGACAUGCGCGCAUAUCAAUAAGCGGAGGAAAAGAAACUAACUAGGAUUCCCUCAGUAACGGCGAGUGAAGCGGGAAGAGCUCAAAUUUGAAAUCUUCAAGGUUCUACCUCGACGAAUUGUAGUUUAAAGAAGUGUUUUCUGUUGAAGUUUUGGUAAAAGUUCUUUGGAAUAGGACAUCAUAGAGGGUGAGAAUCCCGUAUUUGACCAUUAUUUUCCAACUUUGUGAUACACUUUCAAAGAGUCGGAUUGUUUGGGAAUGCAGUCCAAAAUGGGUGGUAGAUUUCAUCUAAAGCUAAAUAUUGGCGAGAGACCGAUAGCGAACAAGUACCGUGAGGGAAAGAUGAAAAGAACUUUGAAAAGAGAGUUAAACAGUACGUGAAAUUGUCAAAAGGGAAGCGUUUGACACCAGUGUUGUUUUCUCGAAAAUCAAUUAAAAAAUGGAUUGGAUUUUGUGUUGUAUUGACUUUAUCAGCUUUCUGCACUCUUUUCUUGUCUUUUUUAAUGCACUUUUCGUUUAACAAGUCAGCAUCAAUUUCUUUUGUUGUAAAAAGGGUCAUUGGAAGGUGGCUUUCUUUUCGGAGAAAGUGUUUAUAGCCUUUGACUCCUGCAAUCGGAGAGACUGAGGUCUGCAGCGUAGAUCCUUCGGGGAUUAGAUGCACUUGUGCUAAGUUAUAGCUUUUCAUAGACAACUUGUUGACUAUGAUUUAGUCAUUGUAGCUUACUCGCUUAUGUAAUUUUACCUACGCUUAGGAUGUUGACAGCAGUAUAGACUGU